rnacentral:rRNA from 1 species
AGAGUUUGAUCAUGGCUCAGAACGAACGCUGGCGGCAGGCUUAACACAUGCAAGUCGAAGCCCCCGCAAGGGGAGUGGCAGACGGGUGAGUAACGCGUGGGAACGUGCCCUUCGCUACGGAAUAGCCCCGGGAAACUGGGAGUAAUACCGGAUACGCCGUAUUGGGAAAGAUUUAUCGGCGAAGGAUCGGCCCGCGUUAGAUUAGCUAGUUGGCGGUGUAAUGGACCACCAAGGCUACGAUCUAUAGCUGGUCUGAGAGGAUGAUCAGCCACACUGGGACUGAGACACGGCCCAGACUCCUACGGGAGGCAGCAGUGGGGAAUCUUGGACAAUGGGCGCAAGCCUGAUCCAGCCAUGCCGCGUGAGUGAAGAAGGCCUUAGGGUUGUAAAACUCUUUCGCCGGAGAAGAUAAUGACGGUAUCCGGAGAAGAAGCCCCGGCUAACUUCGUG